rnacentral:rRNA from 1 species
CGCAUCUGUGCAUGCAGCAUAUCAAUAAGCGGAGGAAAAGAAACUAACAAGGAUUCCCCUAGUAACGGCGAGUGAAGCGGGAAGAGCUCAAAUUUGAAAUCUUAAAGGGUUUCCCUUUACGAAUUGUAGUUUAAAGAAGUGUUUUCUGUUGAGGUUUUGGUAAAAGUUCUUUGGAAUAGGACAUCAUAGAGGGUGAGAAUCCCGUAUUUGACCUUUACUUUCAACUUUGUGAUACACUUUCAAAGAGUCGGAUUGUUUGGGAAUGCAGUCCAAAAUGGGUGGUAAAUUUCAUCUAAAGCUAAAUAUUGGCGAGAGACCGAUAGCGAACAAGUACCGUGAGGGAAAGAUGAAAAGAACUUUGAAAAGAGGAGUUAAACAGUACGUGAAAUUGUCAAAAGGGAAGCGUUUGACACCAGUGUUGUUUUUCUGAAAAUCAAUUAAAGAACUGUUUAUGCUAAGUUGUUUAGACUUUAUCAGCUAACUGUUUAGUUUUGAGCUUUUCUUUGAUGCACUUUUCAGUUAACAAGUCAACAUCAAUUUCUUUUGCUGUAGAAAAGCUUGAGGAAGGUGGCUUGAGAUUCGUCUUAAGUGUUUAUAGCCUCUUGCCUAUGCAGUCGGAGAGAUUGAGGUCUGCAGCGUAGAUCCUUCGGGGCUAAAUGCAUUUGUGCUAAGUUAUAGCAUUUUAUAGACAACUUGUUGACUAUGAUUUGUCUUGUAGCUUACUCGCUUAUGUUAUUUUACCUACGCUUAGGAUGUUGACAGCAGUAUAGACUG